rnacentral:rRNA from 1 species
GACGAACGCUGGCGGCGUGCCUAAUACAUGCAAGUCGAGCGGAACUGGGGGAGCUUGCUCCUUCCAGUUUAGCGGCGGACGGGUGAGUAACACGUGGGCAACCUGCCCUGCAGAUCGGGAUAACUCCGGGAAACCGGUGUUAAUACCGAAUAGUUUGGCGCCUCUCCUGAGGCGCUACGGAAAGACGGUUUCGGCUGUCACUGCAGGAUGGGGCCGCGGCGCAUUAGCUAGUUGGUGGGGUAACGGCCCACCACGGCGACGCUGCGUAGCCGACCGGAGAGGGUGACCGGCCACCCUGGGACUGAGACACGGCCCAGACUCCUACGGGAGGCAGCAGUAGGGAAUCUUCCGCAAUGGACGCAAGUCUGACGGAGCAACGCCGCGUGAGUGACGAAGGUUUUCGGAUCGUAAAACUCUGUUGUGAGGGAAGAACACGUACCAACUAACUAUUGGUACCUUGACGGUACCUCACCAGAAAGCCACGGCUAACUACGUGCCAGCCGCCGCGGUAA